ensembl:lncRNA
UUUUACCCCAAUUUUUGACAAUCUUUUUCCCAAUUUAUCCCAAAUUUUCCCCAAUUUUCCCCAUUUUUACCCCAAUUUUUCCCCAUUUCCCCCAAUUUUUCCCCAUUUCAUCCCAAAUUUAUCCCAAAUUUUUCCCAUUUUUUCCACAAUUUUUGCUGAUUUUUUCCCCAAUUUUUCCACAAAUUUUCCCAUUUUUUCCCCUUUUCUCCCCCCAAUUUUUCCCACUUUUACCCCAAUUUUUGACAAAUUUUCCCGUUUUCCCCAAUUUUCCCAAUUUAUCCCAAAUUUAUCCCAAAUUUUUCCCCAUUUUCCCCCAAUUUUUCCCCAUUUUCCCCCAAUUUUCCCCAUUUNNNNNNNNNNNNNNNNNNNNCCUCCUUUUUUCCCCCAAUUUUUCCUCAUUUUUCCUCCAUUUCCCCCCAUUUUUUCCUCUUUUUUCUCCUUUUUUCCCCCUUUUUUCCCCAUUUUUUCCUCCAUUUUUUCUCCUUUUUUUCUCCUUUUUUCCUCAUUUUUUUCCUCAUUUUUUCCUCCUUUUUUUCCCAUUUUUUCCCAUUUUUUCCUCCUUUUUUCCCCCAAUUUUUCCUCAUUUUUUCCCCAUUUUUUCCUCCUUUUUUCCCAUUUUUUCCUCCUUUUUUUCCCCAUUUUUUCUCAUUUUUUCCCCAUUUUUUCCCCUUUUUUUUCCCAUUUUUUCUCCUUUUUUCUCCCUUAAUUUCUUUUAAAUUCCAAUUCCUCAUUUCAAUUUUUUCUUAAUUUUUCUGUCAUUUUUUCUCUUUUUUUUUUACAAUUUUUAAUUUUUCUUCUAUAAAUUAAUUUGAUUUUUUCCAUAUUUUUCCCUAAAUUAAUUUCCUUUGUUAAUAAUUUUUAUUUCCAUUUUUUAGAACUUUUUACUGAUUUUUUUUUCCAUUUUUUUCCUUAUUUUUCUUCAACUUUUCCCAAUUUUUCCCCCAUUUUUUUCUAAUUUUCAGUCCAAUUUUUCCCCAAUUUCCCCCAAUUUUUCCCCCAUUUUCCCCCCAAUUUUAUUCCAAUUUUAUUCCAAUUUUCCCCCAUUUUUCCCCAAUUUUCCCCCAAUUUUCCCCCAAUUUUCCCCCAAUUUUCCCCCAAUUUUCCCCCAAUUUUUCCCCAUUUUUCCCCCAAUUUUUCCCCAUUUUCCCCCAAUUUUCCCCAUUUUUCCCCAAUUUUUCCCCAAUUUUCCCCAAUUUUCCUCAAUUUAUCCCAAAUUUUUCCCUUUUUCCCCAUUUUUCCCCAAUUUUUCCCCAAUUUAUCCCAAAUUUAUCCCAAUUUUUUUCCGCAUUUUCACCCCAAUUUUCCCCAUUUCCCCCAAUUUUUACCAUUUCCCCCCCAAUUUUUCCCUUUUUACCCCAAUUUUUCCAUUUUCCCAUUUUUCCCAAUUUUUCCCAUUUUUACCCCAAUUUUUCCCAUUUCCCCCAAUUUUCCCCAAUUUUCCCCCAAUUUUUCCAAUUUUUCCUCAUUUUUACCCCAAUUUUCCCAAUUUUUUCCCAUUUUCCCAUUUUCCCCAUUUUCCCCAUUUUCCCCCAAUUUUUCCAAUUUUUCCUCAUUUUUACCCCAAUUUUCCCAAUUUUUCCCCAUUUUUUCCCAUUUUCCCCCCACACUUUUUCCCCAAUUUUUGACAAAUUUAUCCAAAUUUAUCCCAAUUUUUUCCCAUUUUCCCCAAUUUCCCCCCAUUUUUCCCCAAUUUAUCCCAAAUUUUCCCCAUUUUUUCCCCAUUUUCCCAAAUUUUCCCAAUUUCCCCCCAAUUUCCCCCAUUUUUAUUCUCCCCUUUCUCUCCCAGCCUCUCUCUGGAUCCUUUUCCUGCCGGCGUCGCCCUCAGACCUCCUCCCACCCGCCCCCAACAUCUCGGUGACGCCGCCCAAGCUGCGUUUCCUCAUCGGCGACGUCGUCUCCAUCUCCUGCUCGGCGCCGGCGCCGCCCGGCACCGACCGCAUCCAAGGCUUCCGUUUCACCGGCACGGCCGGCUGGGUCAGCGACGUCCGUACGUCCCGCCCGACGUCCGUCCACUCCUUCACCCUCAGCGGCCCCGGCGACGGCGGCGUCCACACCUGCUCCUACAGCGUCCUCCGGCGCGGCCGCGGCGUCCUCCACUCGCCGGCCAGCGCCGCCCUGCUCAUCGACGUCCGAGGUUUGGGGGGGUGGAAACUCCCAAAGUUGGGGCUUUUGGGGGGUUUUUGGCCCAAAAUUUGGUCCCGUUGAGGUCCGACGUUGACUUGUGUGUCCAACUGGGAGUUUUUACCCCGAAAUUUGCUCCUGUUGACGUCCAGCCAUGACUUUUCCACCCAAUUUGGCAUUUUUAUCCCAAAAUUUGGUCCCCUUGAGGUCCAACCAUGACUUCUCCACCCAAUGUUGACUUCUCCACCUAAUCUGGAGUUUUUACCCCAAAAUUUGUCCCCGUUGAGGGUCCAACCAUGACUUUUCCACCCAAUUUGACCAUUUUUAUCCCAAAAUUUGUUCCCAUUGAGGUCCACCCUUGACUUUCCCACCCAAUUUGCCAUUUUUACCCCAAAAUUCAUCUCCAUUGACAUAAAUGUUGGGGUUUGGUCCAACAAGGACAUUUUUACCCCAAAAUUCGUCCCCAUUGAUGUCCAACCUUGACUUUCCCACCCAAUUUGGCCAUUUUUACCCCAAAAUUCAUCUCUAUUGACAAAAAUGUUGGGUUUGGUCCAAUUUGAUCAUUUUUACCCCAAAAUCCAUCCUCGUUGAGGUCCAACCUUGACUUCUCCACCCAACCUUGACUUUCCCACCCAAUCUUGACUUUCCCACCCAAUUCCAUGGUUUCACCCCAAAUCCAUCCCCAUUGAGGUCCCACCUUGAGUUUCCCUCCCAAUUUGGCCAUUUUUACCCCAAACUUCAUCUCCAUUGACCAAAAUGUUGGGGUUUGGUCCAAUUUGGCCAUUUUUACCCCAAAAUUCGUCCCCAUCGACCAAAAUGUUGGGUUUUGGUCCAACGGGGGCGUUUUUAUCCCAAAUUUUUCCUUUCUGAGGUCCAACCUUGACUUCUCCACCUAAUUCCAUGGUUUCACCCUAAAUCCGUCCCCUUGAGCUCCAACCUUGACUUUCCCACCCAAUUUGACCAUUUUUACCCCAAAAUUCGUCCCCAUUGACCAAAAUGUUGGGGU